UACGUAGGGUGCAAGCGUUUGUCCGGAAUUAUUGGGCGUAAAGGGUGCGUAGGCGGUCUGACAAGUCUGAUGUGAAAUCUAUGGGCUCAACCCAUAGUCUGCAUCGGAAACUGUCGGGCUUGAGUUCGGGAGAGGUGAGUGGAACUGCGAGUGUAGAGGUGAAAUUCGUAGAUAUUCGCAAGAACACCAGUGGCGAAGGCGGCUCACUGGCCCGAUACUGACGCUGAGGCACGAAAGCGUGGGGAGCAAACAGG
rnacentral:rRNA from 1 species